rnacentral:rRNA from 1 species
GAGUGGCAGACGGGUGAGUAACGCGUGGGAACGUGCCCUUCAGUUCGGAAUAACCCAGGGAAACUUGGGCUAAUACCGGAUACGUGCGAGAGCAGAAAGAUUUAUCGCUGAAGGAUCGGCCCGCGUCUGAUUAGCUAGUUGGUGGGGUAAUGGCCCACCAAGGCGACGAUCAGUAGCUGGUCUGAGAGGAUGAUCAGCCACAUUGGGACUGAGACACGGCCCAAACUCCUACGGGAGGCAGCAGUGGGGAAUAUUGGACAAUGGGCGCAAGCCUGAUCCAGCCAUGCCGCGUGAGUGAUGAAGGCCUUAGGGUUGUAAAGCUCUUUCGGUGGGGACGAUAAUGACGGUACCCACAGAAGAAGCCCCGGCUAACUUCGUGCCAGCAGCCGCGGUAAUACGAAGGGGGCUAGCGUUGUUCGGAAUCACUGGGCGUAAAGGGCGCGUAGGCGGCUUUGUAAGUCGGGGGUGAAAGCCUGUGGCUCAACCACAGAAUUGCCUUCGAUACUGCAUGGCUUGAGACCGGAAGAGGUUAGUGGAACUGCGAGUGUAGAGGUGAAAUUCGUAGAUAUUCGCAAGAACACCAGUGGCGAAGGCGGCUGACUGGUCCGGUUCUGACGCUGAGGCGCG